rnacentral:misc_RNA from 1 species
AACGCACCUUGCGCCCUUUGGCUAUUCUGAAGUGCAUGCCUGUUUGAGUAUCAUGAACACCUCAACUUCUCAUGGUUUGCCAUGAUGAGCUUGGACUUUGGGGGUCUUGCCGGCCUAUGGUUGGCUCCUCUCAAAUGGAUCAGCUUGCCAGUGUUUGGUGGCACCACAGGUGUGAUAAAUAUCUACGCUUGUGGUUUUCCACCAUGUAACCUUCAGCAAUGAAGGUUCGCUGGAGCUCACAAAUGUCUCUCCUCAGCGAGGACAGCUUUUGAACGUUUGAUCUCAAAUCAGGUAGGAUUACCCGCUGAACUUAA